GACAGAGGGUGCAAGCGUUGUUCGGAAUCAUUGGGCGUAAAGCGCGCGUAGGCGGCUUGGUAAGUCGAAUGUGAAAGCCCUGGGCUCAACCCAGGACGUGCAUUCGAAACUGCCCGGCUUGAAUCCUGGAGAGGGUGGUGGAAUUCCCAGUGUAGAGGUGAAAUUCGUAGAUAUUGGGAGGAACACCAGUGGCGAAGGCGACCACCUGGACAGAGAUUGACGCUGAGGCGCGAAAGCGUGGGUAGCAAACAGG
rnacentral:rRNA from 1 species